rnacentral:rRNA from 1 species
UUGAACGCUGGCGGCAGGCCUAACACAUGCAAGUCGAACGGUAACAGGAAGCAGCUUGCUGCUUUGCUGACGAGUGGCGGACGGGUGAGUAAUGUCUGGGAAACUGCCUGAUGGAGGGGGAUAACUACUGGAAACGGUAGCUAAUACCGCAUAACGUCGCAAGACCAAAGAGGGGGACCUUAGGGCCUCUUGCCAUCGGAUGUGCCCAGAUGGGAUUAGCUAGUAGGUGGGGUAACGGCUCACCUAGGCGACGAUCCCUAGCUGGUCUGAGAGGAUGACCAGCCACACUGGAACUGAGACACGGUCCAGACUCCUACGGGAGGCAGCAGUGGGGAAUAUUGCACAAUGGGCGCAAGCCUGAUGCAGCCAUGCCGCGUGUAUGAAGAAGGCCUUCGGGUUGUAAAGUACUUUCAGCGGGGAGGAAGGGAGUAAAGUUAAUACCUAUGCUCAUUGACGUUACCCGCAGAAGAAGCACCGGCUAACUCCGUG